GGGGGAAUGGCGGAACCGGCAGACGCAUCGGACUUAAAAUCCGAAGCCCGCGAGGGCGUGGGGGUUCGAGCCCCCCUUCCCCCA
rnacentral:tRNA from 1 species